AUAGGUUCGAACGGAAGAGGAACUGGAGGAGGCAAUUGAGGCAUCCCUAGGACCUAACAAGGGCAGCCUGUGCUUUAUAGAGGUAAUUGUGCACAAGGAUGACACCAGUAAGGAGCUUCUUGUGUGGGGAGCUAGGCUUUUCGCCGCAAAUAACCGCCCGCCGAACCCUCAGUGAACACACCAGGUCUCUACAAGAUGCUCAUCCAGCUUAAUGAGGUCAUGUGAAAGCUCACGUGUACUGAACUCUGAAUAAAUCCUCCAUUUGAGUCCACUGAACUCUGAAUAAAUCCUCCAUUUGAGUCCACUGCUGUCGCAAGUGCAAGUGCUCAUGGUUACUGUAUGUAGGUGUUUUCAGUUCAGGAACUGGUACUUGUAUUACCUAAAUAAACCUGAAAUCGAUGAUGUGGCCAGCGAAAGACGCUCUUGAGUUUUGUCAUCUUUCUCGAGUUAUUCCAACUGACAGAAGUUUCAGACUUGCUGUGCUUUUCAAAGGCACACGUUAGACAUUAGCAAGAAGAAGAAAGCUGUGCUUCUGGAAUCUGAAGAAGAUUUGAUUAUGUAGUGAAGUAGCAGAGUAAUUCAAAAUGGUGCACCUGGUGGACAAAUCUCUAAGAUGGACAAUUUCCUUCUUUGAUACGGCCGGAGAACUCCAUUCUUGCUCCAGACAUCUUCAUCAUCGAUAACACUUGCAGAAAACACCACCACUCACAAGUCACAUCGCGUGAUGUGCAUUUCGGUAAAACCUAAGGAUGUAUCUCGACUUGAACCUUACACUAAUAUUAAUAAUUUAGGGGUGCGGCGGGGUGAGGCGGGUGGGUUUCGGCGGCGGCGGGGUGCGGGCGUGAGUGGCGGCACGGCAGUCGCACGUGGGUAGGUGAAAAUGAAAGUUGGGCGAUUGGGCUUUUGCGCCGCCGGUUGUGUUUUUGCUCGAGCGUGGCUGGUGAUUUUUACAUCACGAAGAAAACUCGAGUAAUUUUUUUACAUCUUCAUCAUCGGUUGCAGCAUCGUUUUUUUAGGCAACCUGGCAAAGCUUUAUUCAAACCGUCACAAUGUUAAAAGGGACGAAGAAGAUUAGCCGGGUGGCCCCUUCAUCAUUUUUACAUCAGGCUGGUGAAGGUGAGAUUAAGUGGGAGCGGGACUAAUUACCACAUCCCCCUUAAUUUUUUUAGUGGGCUCCCAUUGGAAAGAAAAAAAAAUCAAGCUAGCCCACUUAUCCCAUUGACCUUGCCCUAUUAGCUAGACAUCGACCCUGGUAGGUUGUGCCUAGAUGAGUAGAGAGAGGGUGGUGCCACAACUUGCUCCCGCCGCCGCCGUCUGCCAUCGCGCCCCUGCUUCUACCUCCUCACACCAUGCCACCCCCGGCGGCCUCCUCAUCACCGAGGCCACUCGCGUCACGCCGGCUGUCACAUCCCUAGCUUCUGGUGCUGCCUGGUGUUUGCAUCAUGUUUAAUUUUGAAACUUGAACUGAGGGAAAUUGGAAGCCUCAAAACCCUAAAUAAAAGAAGGGCAAAAACCCUAAAAAUCUCAUUCAUUGUUCCAAAAUGCUCUUCUUAAAUGUUUGAUAAUUUUUGGCAAGGGUUCUGGUCCCAACCAAAAUAUUGAACAUUUUUAAGGAUUUAUUUUUGGGACUUUGAAUUUAAUUCAUUAACUAUUUGAAUUUGAAUUAUAUUCAUAUAAUUAGAAUAUAAUUUCAAAUAUCCCUGAAAUAUUUUAUGAGCUUUUGGAAAAGUCCAUCUAGCAAAAUAAAAAUAUUCAGAGGAGCCUUUGGCAUUGUUUGAAUUAUUUUAAAUUCAAAACAGUGGUAAAAGAAUUAAAUAAAAGAAAACAGAACAGGAAUAUAAAAAAACAGGAGAGAGAGGAAGCCUACCUGGGCCACUUACCCGCAGCCCACCUAGCGCCCCACCUGGCCCAGCGAUGCGGCUGAGGCCCAGCCCACCUCCUCCUCUUUGUCGUCUUCCUCCCCCUCGCCCCGAAGCUGCUCGGUGGCGAGCGCCGACGCCGCCCCGGCCACCUCCUGCUUCCCCUGGCCACCUCAUGCUUCCUCCCCGAGCCCUCUAGCGACGCCACGGAGUCGUCCCCGACCGCUAUCCCUUCUCUCUGCUCGCUCUGGCUCUCUCCCUCUCUCGAUUUGGAGCACCACCGAGAGCCACCGGAGGGCGCCGCCGUCGCAUCCAUAGCCACCGGCCACCCCUCGCCCUUCCGAUGAGCUCAGGAGCUCCGUCCCGACCCCAUGGAGCUGCACACCGACACACGCGACCAGAGGAGGCCCCAGUCGACCGGAGCGUCGUCGUCUUCAUCCCCGGUGCCCGGAGAUCGCCGCCGUAAAUUCGCCGUCGCAGAAGCUUCCCCGAGCUCGCCGACCCCUCCGUCCAGUCCACUGUGAGCCCCUCUUCCACUUCCCCCUUCUCUCAAGCUCGCGCUCAUCCCCUAGCCUCUUCCUCCACCGCGGCCGAGAGUUUCUCGCCGCCGGCCAUGGCGUGGCCAUGGCCACAGCCACCGCAGCUCGUUUCCGAGCCCACUGUCGUGCUCACCGCGAUCUCAGGAGUCCGUAGCACGCCCCAGCUCCUCCUGCCGUGCUCCCUAACACCGACCCCGAGCUCGCCCGAGCUCCGGCCGCCGCCGAGGUCGACGUCGUGCUCAACUCCGGCCACCUCCGCUCCAGCCGCCUCCACCACUGGAAGCGCCACUCCGCCAGCUCCCCGUAGAUGCUCCCCGCGCCCCAAACCAUGGCCUGUAAUGCAAUCCCGAUGCGGACGCCGCCGCGAUCUGAGGUCGCCGGCGGUUAAACGCCGGCAGCUGACGUGGCGAUGUCAUUAAACGCUAAUGACGCACUAACCAACCCCCUAGGCCACUGACUGUGGGCCCCACCCCUGGUCAAACCCCAGUCAGCGUUGGGUUUGACCGGGAUUAGGUCCUGUGUCACUGACGUGUGGACCCCGCACGUCAGGUUUGACCUGGACCUGGCCGUUGACUCGCUGACGUCAUGCUGGCGUCAGGCUGACGCAGCUAAAUCAUUUUCUGGAAUUAUUUUAAUUCUAAAUAUUCAGGAAAUUUCAGAAAAUGAUUAAAACUUCAAUAAAUCAUAGAAAUUCAACCGUAACUCCAAAUUAAAUAAUUUAUAUAUGAAAAAUUAUCAGAAAAAUUCAAGGAAUCCAUCUAUACCAUUUUCAUGCAUGUUAGAACAACUUAUAGCUGCUGUUUAGCACAAAUCAAUUAAUGGCAUUUGAAUAAUCACAUAUGGAGUUUGAAUUUGAAUCUUGUAUUCAAACCAACUUCAUUUAAUCUGUUGCUAGUUGCAUUAGCUCAAAACACAUUCAUAUUGCCAUGUCAUGAGCAUGCAUCAUAUUGUGCAUUGCAUUGAUUGUAUUUCUUCUUUGUUGCCGGUAUCUGUUCCCUCCCGGUAGACGAUGUUCCGACGUUGUGAUCGUUGACACUGAUGAAGACUCAAUGUUAUCUUCAGAAGUGCCAGGCAAGCAAAACCCCCUUGUUCAUUCCGAUAAAAUCCCACUCUCUCGCUCCUGCUCUCUUUUACUGCAUUAGGACAACAACGAUUCAUCUGUUACUUGCUGCGGUAGCUGAACCCCUUUAUCCUUUGCAUGACCUGUCAUUCCACAGUAAAUAGAUGAAACCCACUAGUAUGAGUAGGAGUUGUUUGAGCCCUGUUGUGCCUACUCAUUCUUACUUGUUUGUCAUGCCUGCUACUGCUUAGAGUUGUGUCAGGUCUGAUUCAUCGGGAAUGAAUCUGAGGUGUGUGAACAUGUCCUACCAUUGAGAGCUAAGUGUGUGAACACGAUUUGGUAAAGGUAGCGGUGAGAGGCCAUGUAGGAGUACAUGGUGGGUUGUCUCAUUGCAGCCGUCCUCAGGAACUGAGUUCUGUGUUUGUGAUCCAUGAUUCAGCUACUACCACGCAUUGGGCCUGAAACCAAUGGACCCUCUCGGCUUCUUAAUCACCCUUGUCCUCUGUCCAGGAGUUGCAAGUAGUUUCUGGUGUUUGUAGUAUGCUGGAGGCCGUGCGCAGCGCUGACCGUAGGGGUGGGCUGUGAUGCGGUAGGCACGUGGCACGGUGUACCGGGCGCCCGUUUGGUGUCUCGGGAACCCUGUUCACAUCAUUUGGGGCUGUGAGCGAAACUCUGGCCGGAUCUCCUCAUGGAUGGAACCCGAAUAGGCGAUAAACCUGGACUAGAGACUUGAGUGUUUAGGCAGGCCGUGGCCGACACCCACGUUGGGCUUCCGCUUGAAGGUUGCCGAGUACAUGUCGUGUAAACGGCGGUAAGUGGUGAGAGCGUGUGUGAAGAAGUACACCCCUGCAGGGUUAACAUCAUCUAUUCGAAUAGCCGUGUCCGCGGAGAAGGACUUCUGGGUUGCUUAUAUCAGUUCAUAGACAAGUGAAAGUGGAUACUCUAAAAUACGCAAGAUAAGCGUGAGUGCUAUGGAUGGUGUUCUCGUAGGGAGACGGGAGCGGAUCCAUAGCGGUGUAUUGAUAUGGUGAAUAUGUGGACUCGUGUGCGCCACCUCAAAAGAGUUACAUUGCAGUCGUAGUUCAGGAUAGCCACCGAGUCAAAGCUGGCUUGCUGCAGUUAAACCCCACCAUCUCCUUUGUUGAUAAUGAUGCAUAUGUAGUUAGUUCUGAUGUAAGUCUUGCUGGGUACAUUUGUACUCAUGUUUGCCUAUUUUAUGUUUUGCAGAGAGACUUCGGUCUCACUAGUAGUUCCACGUGGACUUCGACGUUUAGCUUGUUACCUCAGCUACGAUCUUGUGCCCUUGGCAGGAUCUGGUAGAUAGUCAGGCUUUCAAGCCUUUUUCAUUUAUAGAUGUCUGUACUCAAACAUGAUAGCUUCCGCAUGUGCUUUGACUUGUAUGCUCUGAUUGUUGGGUCAUGAGACCUAUGUUUGUAAUAUCUCGCUCCUCGGAGCCUAUUGAUUAAAUACUUGAGUCUUAGAGUCAUGUUGUGAUGCCAUGUUGUAUUUGCACAUAUUGAGCAUAUUGUGUGUAUGUUAUUGAAAUGCUUGGUAUGUGUGGGAUCUGACUAUCUAGUUGUUUAUCCUUAGUAGCCUCUCUUACCGGGAAAUGUCUCCUAGUGUUUCCACCGAGCCAUGGUAGCUUGCUACUGCUCCAGAACACUUAGGCUGGCCGGCAUGUGUCCUUCUUCGUUCCUGUGUCUGUCCCUUCGGGGAAAUGUCACGCGAUGAAUACCGGAGUCCUACUAGCCCAGUGCUACAGCCUGGAUUCACUCGCUGAUGACCGACACGUUCGAUGCUGGGUCAUGGAUGCCUGUCCCUGUAAGUUUGUGCCACUUUGGGUUUACGACUAGCCAUGUCAGCCCGGGCUCCUUAUCAUAUGGGUGCUAGCGACACUGUCAUAUACGUGUGCCAAAAGGCGCAAACGGUCCCGGGUAAAGGUAAGGCGACACCCGUGGGAAUACCGUGCGUGAGGCCGCAAAGUGAUAUGAGGUGUUACAUGCUAGAUCGAUGUGGCAUUGAGUCGGGGUCCUGACAGCGUUGGUAUCAGAGCUUGACUGCCUGUAGGAUUACCAAGCCAAACCGGUCGAAGUUGAGUCUAGAAAUUCUUUAGUUAUAUAAGGGAAUUGAUUGUGGGAUGGAACGUAAGGCUCUUUUUACUCCUUAUACCUUAUGCCUUCUGAUCUGAGUCAUCUUAUCUUUCCUGCGGGGUUAAGGAACUAGACUUUCUCUUCUUUCUAUCAGGAUCACGUGUUACUAAUCCGUAGACUUAUAAGAUGGUUGGAUUUAAGCUUGAGUUCAGUUCCUACGACUUCUGUAUGUUAACUAUUGAUCUCGAAACCUUGAUAUUGUGCUUCUGAGUGGUUAUGCCACCAUUUUUGUGAAUGUCUCAAAUCUUUUCUGAGCAUUUACAGCCAUUAUGCUAUCCGAGUCAUCCCAGGUUUCUAAACAGUCUGAUGCAUUUGCAAAUUCCUUCCUUCCGUUUCGAUGUUCCUUUGGGCCAGAUUAACCACACUAAUCGGUGAGUUGAGGUACUCUGUUGCCUUGACAUAUAUGUUGGAGAUAGUAUUAUGACCCUAAGUGUCUUAGGGGAUCAUCUAGUGGUCUAGCCAUGAUCUAUGUUUCCAGUGUGAUGAGUCUGGCCUUUAUUCUCGAAAGCAUCCCGUGAUGCCACUUAGUAGUAGGCAUUCUACUCCUGGGUUCUGAACCCGAGAUUCACUCUACUUACUUCAUGUUGAUAGUGUUUGCUAGCUCCCUUAGGUUAUUAGUAACCUUUGCGAUAGUCCUCGAGGUCCGUGGUAUUUCCUUCUUCCAAAUACCAUGAACCAUUCAGGCAGAAGUUAUUGGAUCAAAGGAUCACAAUUAGAGUACUCUUGAGGAGUUCUCCAUUCAUAAAUCGUGACUCUGCCAGUCCUACCUCUCUGCAUGGGUUAUCCGGAAGAAACAUGUUGAACUUCGUUCGACAUACUAGUCCAUGCAUCCACAACUCAGAAAAAAAACAUAUGUUCUUUUGAGUUGUCCCCCUUUAGUUGUCUUUUGACCGUCGUCUAUCAAUUGAUAGUCAAGAGUAUGCGUGCGUUCAUUCAUCGAUGCCUAUCACUCUUGUGGUCCGUUAAGCCAUUCUAUUCCGGAAUGACUAGGAGAAACAAACUCCAGUACCUCAUCCGUAUCCAGGAUCGGGUCAAAGAAGUUGUAUUUCGCAGAUCAAAUGCCAAUCCAGCUUUUGGUUCUGUUCUACCUUGGAGUAUUACCAUCUUUAUAUCGGGAUUGUUAUAGGAAUUGCACACCACCCUAUGAACUCUUGGUACAGUGAUACUUCUUGCCAUCGUUGUUCAUUCCUUGGUUCCUGUGUUAUUGUAACCGGAAUGUCGACAAGUGAAUCGUGAUGUGUGAAAUCAAUACUCCUAGCAACCUCGUUGCUUGGUAGUUAAAGGACAAUAACCUCAUUUUUAACGUGUUGGUUCUUGAAUCAUCAUUCUAAGAUUGAUCGUGCUACCUUGUCCAUCUUCUUGGUGCACAUUUCGAUUGAUGAGUUAGGAUUUUGUCAAGUCCUCACUCAUUUGAUCAUGUCGUCUUGCCCUCAAAAGCAAGAUUGUCCUCAAGCUUAGUAACAUAACGGUGGUUCGUGACUUUCCAAAUAUCUUCUUGGAAGUAUUACCGGGUUGUUUCCUGACUGUUAUGUUGAGCUCGUGAUCAAGUUGGUUUCUUGUGAACCACCCUCUCUCCAAGAAUCUGUGUUAGAUAUCCCUGAGCUAGUUGGUUAAGCUAGACAACAACUUGGAGAGUUGGAAGAUAAAAGCUUGCCUGACUUAGUUCGUUCCAAAGGGAUAUUCUUGUGUAGUGUGUGUUGAAGAAAGAUGAUAUUUUCAUCGACUGACCCUCGUGAUCAGUUAAUGGACCUAUCAUCUUGUCCAACCUUUGAUUUGGGUGUGGGCUAUCGUCAAAUCAAAUCAGAACCAAUGAUGUUCGUAAUAUUGUCUUACUCGUGGAUUUUCCUCGAGCAUACACCAUUACAUCUUUUGGUUUGACCAAUGCUAUCACCUUGUUCACCAAGUCGUGGAAUUCCAUCUUCAUGGAAAUCUCGAUGAUUUGUUGUUGAGCCCAUCAACAUCAUUUUAUCUUCUCCAAGAUCUUGUUGGACAAUAAGUUAGUGUUGGAAACUUUUGAAAACAUUUUCUUCAUGCUAGCUCAUGAAGUAUUUGUUUGAUGAAAGGAGUGACUUCCUCUUAUACACGUGCAUUUGGUGAAAGUUGCCGCCGUGAAUUUGAGAAAGUUAGUUUUGCUUCCUCUGGAAUCAUCCCAAGUCAGUCAUACACAUGUGCGAAGUAUUAUGUGGUUUGGAGACUUGCAACCUCCAUUCUAUAUGUGUCCCUAGCACACCAAGUCACUGAUUGAGUUGUUCAAAGAUAAAGGAGUCUGUCCAAGGUGAACUCUUUGGACUUCCACGCGUGGAGACUUCGAUGUCAUUAAUGAUGGUUCCCAACCAGAACUCGGUAGUGUUUUAUUGUAAGACUACCAUGUGGGCAUGCUUGUCUGGGACAACGUGUUCACAUGUUUGUAGUAGAACCAGCUCAUGUUUUGGAGCUUGCUAUCGUAGUUCAUUUCCCGAGAAUCUCGCAACGUCAUCUCGUCGAUUUGUGUUGCAAACUAUCGUUUUUCUUCCUAGACUCGAUGAGUCUGGAAUAUCCUGACACCAACCAGAUCUGAAUCUCAGGCAGAUAUGAUGGUUGGAGCAUUUCCCAAGAACUAUAAUAUUGGUCCCUCGAUAACCGGUAAAGUGGAUGUCGUGGCCAACACACCCAGUCGGAAGACCUGUUAUUAUAAUAUCUUGAUUGAGGAAGUUGGCCACCCCCCCAUAGGGAUUUCGUAGGAUUUACUCCCUAGUUGCCCCUAUGGAUUUCUGUGUUCCGAAGUCCGACCUUUUACUUGAUGUUCUAGAUACCAGACCAUUUCAAGGAAUGGGAUACGCUAGUACAUCAAGGAGAACAUUAGAAGCGGAGUGCUAAAUGUCUCUCGGACGAUCAUCCAGAUUUCAUUACCUUGACCCCGCCAAGGGUGAAAUCUGAGAAAGUGUUACCUUCCUUUGCAUCUGCAUCAUCCAUCAUCAUUCAUCGUGGUAGUACGUUGUGUUGUCAGCACCCUUGACACGGAUGUUGAUAAAACCUUGAUGAUUGUGGAAAUGCUCAAGUUCUUGAGAGCACGUACAAGCGCUACGUGUUACCAUCGGCUCUAACUGGGAUUCCUCUCAGUUUCCUCGGCAAUGUUAUGACCUUUCAAACAGUGAAUUCACUCUCUAUUGUUGGGUUCUUCCCCAGUUACCAGAAUCAUUCCCAGCAUUUGCAUUUUUGUUCCCAGCUUGCACCGCCAAUGUGCCAUUCUACCAUGGGUCUCUUCCAUUUCCGGUGAUAAGCAAAAAUCAUCCAUUGCGUUGUCUUCAACAAGGUAAUCCACAUCAUCCAAGUCCGAGUAUGCCAUUCUACCGACCCCCUCCAAACGAUCGCUCGGGAAUUGCCUUAGGCUGGUUUAAAGAAUUUCAAUGAUCUCUGAAUCAAAGGUAAUUCUUUUUGCCACUUAAGGGGAGAUAUCUACGAGUCACGGUUCCGAAGGUGUCUCGUUGUGAUAUCAUGGCAACUCAACUCCUCGCUACGUUGACAAUCGUUUACCACCUUCUUAAGCGUGAAAUUGUUGUCUACCUAGUGAACCUUCGUCAUCUGCUUCACUCCAUUCCUAUGGAUGUGUGCUUCGUCUCUCAGCUCGAGAGAUGUUGCUAUGUCUCAUUCCGAGAGUUAAUCCUGAGUUGUUCGACCUUCGAGAAGAUUGAUCCUUCUAGAGUUCCCUUCUCCUCUCGUUGUCAUGUUGGUUGGAGUUCUCGGAACAAGACAUCAAGAUAAUGAUGGUGAGCGAAUCAAUGUUCAAUUGGAGUGCAACCUGGAUCAUGAAGAUUAUACUAGUUUGCGUUUCCCCUUCAUCCUACCCUACGCUUGAAUCUCGAGACGAGAUUCUUGUUUAGUGGGGGUGAGCUGUCACAUCCCUAGCUUCUGGUGCUGCCUGGUGUUUGCAUCAUGUUUAAUUUUGAAACUUGAACUGAGGGAAAUUGGAAGCCUCAAAACCCUAAAUAAAAAAAGGGCAAAAACCCUAAAAAUCUCAUUCAUUGUUCCAAAAUGCUCUUCUUAAAUGUUUGAUAAUUUUUGGCAAGGGUUCUGGUCCCAACCAAAAUAUUGAACAUUUUUAAGGAUUUAUUUUUGGGACUUUGAAUUUAAUUCAUUAACUAUUUGAAUUUGAAUUAUAUUCAUAUAAUUAGAAUAUAAUUUCAAAUAUCCCUGAAAUAUUUUAUGAGCUUUUGGAAAAGUCCAUCUAGCAAAAUAAAAAUAUUCAGAGGAGCUUUUGGCAUUGUUUGAAUUAUUUUAAAUUCAAAACAGUGGCAAAAGAAUUAAAUAAAAGAAAACAGAACAGGAAUAUAAAAAAACAGGAGAGAGAGGAAGCCUACCUGGGCCACUUACCCGCAGCCCACCUAGCGCCCCACCUAGCCCAGCGAUGCGGCUGAGGCCCAGCCCACCUCCUCCUCUCUGUCGUCUUCCUCCCCCUCGCCCCGAAGCUGCUCGGUGGCGAGCGCCGACGCCGCCCCGGCCACCUCCUACUUCCCCUGGCCACCUCCUGCUUCCUCCCCGAGCCCUCUAGCGACGCCACGGAGUCGUCCCCGACCGCUAUCCCUUCUCUCUGCUCGCUCUGGCUCUCUCCCUCUCUCGAUUUGGAGCACCACCGAGAGCCACCAGAGGGCGCCGUCGUCGCAUCCAUAGCCACCGGCCACCCCUCGCCCUUCCGAUGAGCUCAGGAGCUCCGUCCCGACCCCAUGGAGCUGCACACCGACGCACGCGACCAGAGGAGGCCCCAGUCGACCGGAGCGUAGUCGUCUUCAUCCCCGGUGCCCGGAGAUCGCCGCCGUAAAUUCGCCGUCGCAGAAGCUUCCCCGAGCUCGCCGACCCCUCCGUCCAGUCCACUGUGAGCCCCUCUUCCACUUCCCCCUUCUCUCAAGCUCGCGCUCAUCCCCUAGCCUCUUCCUCCACCGCGGCCGAGAGUUUCUCGCCGCCGGCCAUGGCGUGGCCGUGGCCACAGCCACCGCAGCUCGUUUCCGAGCCCACUGUCGUGCUCACCGCGAUCUCAGGAGUCCGUAGCACGCCCCAGCUCCUCCUGCCGUGCUCCCUAACACCGACCCCGAGCUCGCCCGAGCUCCGGCCGCCGCCGAGGUCGACGUCGUGCUCAACUCCGGCCACCUCCGCUCCAGCCGCCUCCACCACUGGAAGCGCCACUCCGCCAGCUCCCCGUAGAUGCUCCCCGCGCCCCAAACCAUGGCCUGUAAUGCAAUCCCGAUGCGGACGCCGCCGCGAUCUGAGGUCGCCGGCGGUUAAACGCCGGCAGCUGACGUGGCGAUGUCAUUAAACGCUAAUGACGCACUAACCAACCCCCUAGGCCACUGACUGUGGGCCCCACCCCUGGUCAAACCCCAGUCAGCGUUGGGUUUGACCGGGAUUAGGUCCUGUGUCACUGACGUGUGGACCCCGCACGUCAGGUUUGACCUGGACCUGGCCGUUGACUCGCUGACGUCAUGCUGGCGUCAGGCUGACGCAGCUAAAUCAUUUUCUGGAAUUAUUUUAAUUCUAAAUAUUCAGGAAAUUUCAGAAAAUGAUUAAAACUUCAAUAAAUCAUAGAAAUUCAACCGUAACUCCAAAUUAAAUAAUUUAUAUAUGAAAAAUUAUCAGAAAAAUUCAAGGAAUCCAUCUAUACCAUUUUCAUGCAUGUUAGAACAACUUAUAGCUGCUGUUUAGCACAAAUCAAUUAAUGGCAUUUGAAUAAUCACAUAUGGAGUUUGAAUUUGAAUCUUGUAUUCAAACCAACUUCAUUUAAUCUGUUGCUAGUUGCAUUAGCUCAAAACACAUUCAUAUUGCCAUGUCAUGAGCAUGCAUCAUAUUGUGCAUUGCAUUGAUUGUAUUUCUUCUUUGUUGCCGGUAUCUGUUCCCUCCCGGUAGACGAUGUUCCGACGUUGUGAUCGUUGACACUGAUGAAGACUCAAUGUUAUCUUCAGAAGUGCCAGGCAAGCAAAACCCCCUUGUUCAUUCCGAUAAAAUCCCACUCUCUCGCUCCUGCUCUCUUUUACUGCAUUAGGACAACAACGAUUCAUCUGUUACUUGCUGCGGUAGCUGAACCCCUUUAUCCUUUGCAUGACCUGUCAUUCCACAGUAAAUAGAUGAAACCCACUAGUAUGAGUAGGAGUUGUUUGAGCCCUGUUGUGCCUACUCAUUCUUACUUGUUUGUCAUGCCUGCUACUGCUUAGAGUUGUGUCAGGUCUGAUUCAUCGGGAAUGAAUCAGAGGUGUGUGAACAUGUCCUACCAUUGAGAGCUAAGUGUGUGAACACGAUUUGGUAAAGGUAGCGGUGAGAGGCCAUGUAGGAGUACAUGGUGGGUUGUCUCAUUGCAGCCGUCCUCAGGAACUGAGUUCUGUGUUUGUGAUCCAUGAUUCAGCUACUACCACGCAUUGGGCCUGAAACCAAUGGACCCUCUCGGCUUCUUAAUCACCCUUGUCCUCUGUCCAGGAGUUGCAAGUAGUUUCUGGUGUUUGUAGUAUGCUGGAGGCCGUGCGCAGCGCUGACCGUAGGGGUGGGCUGUGAUGCGGUAGGCACGUGGCACGGUGUACCGGGCGCCCGUUUGGUGUCUCGGGAACCCUGUUCACAUCGUUUGGGGCUGUGAGCGAAACUCCGGCCGGAUCUCCUCAUGGAUGGAACCCGAAUAGGCGAUAAACCUGGACUAGAGACUUGAGUGUUUAGGCAGGCCGUGGCCGACACCCACGUUGGGCUUCCGCUUGAAGGUUGCCGAGUACAUGUCGUGUAAACGGCGGUAAGUGGUGAGAGCGUGUGUGAAGAAGUACACCCCUGCAGGGUUAACAUCAUCUAUUCGAAUAGCCGUGUCCGCGGAGAAGGACUUCUGGGUUGCUUAUAUCAGUUCAUAGACAAGUGAAAGUGGAUACUCUAAAAUACGCAAGAUAAGCGUGAGUGCUAUGGAUGGCGUUCUCGUAGGGAGACGGGAGCGGAUCCAUAGCGGUGUAUUGAUAUGGUGAAUAUGUGGACUCGUGUGCGCCACCUCAAAAGAGUUACAUUGCAGUCGUAGUUCAGGAUAGCCACCGAGUCAAAGCUGGCUUGCUGCAGUUAAACCCCACCAUCUCCUUUGUUGAUAAUGAUGCAUAUGUAGUUAGUUCUGAUGUAAGUCUUGCUGGGUACAUUUGUACUCACGUUUGCCUAUUUUAUGUUUUGCAGAGAGACUUCGGUCUCACUAGUAGUUCCACGUGGACUUCGACGUUUAGCUUGUUACCUCAGCUACGAUCUUGUGCCCUUGGCAGGAUCUGGUAGAUAGUCAGGCUUUCAAGCCUUUUUCAUUUAUAGAUGUCUGUACUCAAACAUGAUAGCUUCCGCAUGUGCUUUGACUUGUAUGCUCUGAUUGUUGGGUCAUGAGACCUAUGUUUGUAAUAUCUCGCUCCUCGGAGCCUAUUGAUUAAAUACUUGAGUCUUAGAGUCAUGUUGUGAUGCCAUGUUGUAUUUGCACAUAUUGAGCAUAUUGUGUGUAUGUUAUUGAAAUGCUUGGUAUGUGUGGGAUCUGACUAUCUAGUUGUUUAUCCUUAGUAGCCUCUCUUACCGGGAAAUGUCUCCUAGUGUUUCCACCGAGCCAUGGUAGCUUGCUACUGCUCCAGAACACUUAGGCUGGCCGGCAUGUGUCCUUCUUCGUUCCUGUGUCUGUCCCUUCGGGGAAAUGUCACGCGAUGAAUACCGGAGUCCUACUAGCCCAGUGCUACAGCCUGGAUUCACUCGCUGAUGACCGACACGUUCGAUGCUGGGUCAUGGAUGCCUGUCCCUGUAAGUUUGUGCCACUUUGGGGUUACGACUAGCCAUGUCAGCCCGGGCUCCUUAUCAUAUGGGUGCUAGCAACACUGUCAUAUACGUGUGCCAAAAGGCGCAAACGGUCCCGGGUAAAGGUAAGGCGACACCCAUGGGAAUACCGUGCGUGAGGCCGCAAAGUGAUAUGAGGCGUUACAUGCUAGAUCGAUGUGGCAUUGAGUCGGGGUCCUGACACCGGCGCUGUAGGACGAGGAGUCGUCGUCGCUCAGGGACAUGCCAGGGAUCUGGGCGCCGGAGCAGUUCGAGUGUGGAAGCUCGUGGUGGACGUCAUGCAUGCCAAUGGCGUUGUCUUCUUCCGACAGCUCUGGCAUGCCACAGUCAGCGCUGGCAACGCCGUCAGGCAAAGUCAUUAGGUGAACCCCCAGAUGAGCUUUGACGGCCGUCGCGAGGAGCUCACGUCGUCGAGGAGGGUGGCGGCCAAGGACGUGCCCGGCGACAUCGACGCCUUCAGACGGGCCGCCAAGAACACCAUCGAUGCCUUUGCAUGGGCGGAGGUCAUUGUUUCUGAAAGGAUCAAUAAGAGGUGUCUAUAGGGGGGGUGAUUAGACACUCAACACACAAAGUUGGCAGUUUUUAUGUUUUUCAAGUUUGGUUGGAGUUUAAGCAUAAGUUUAACCAUUCACAAUACAAAUCAAGCAAGCAUGCAAAGAGUAUAUGAGCAGCGAAAAGUAAAGCAUUCAACUUGCAAGAAAGUAAAGGGAUGUGAUUGGAGUGUGCAAACGCAAUAGGAGACACGGAUGUUUUUGUCGUGGUUUCGAUAGGUGAUGCUAUUGUACAUCACGUUGAUGGAGACUUCAACCCACGAAGGGUAACGGCUGCGCGAGUCCAUGGAGGGCUCCACCCACGAAGGGUCCACGAAGAAGCAACAUUGUCUAUCCCACCAUGGCCAUCACCCAUGAUGGACUUGCCUCACUAGGGUAGAUUUUCACGAAGUAGGCGAUCUCCUUGCCCUUACAAACUCCUUGGUUCACUACACAAUCUUGUCGGAGGCUCCCAAGUGACACCUAACCAAUCUAGGAGACACCACUCUCCAAAAGGUAAUAGAUGGUGUGUUGAUUAUGAACUCCUUGCUCUUGUGCUUCAAAUGAUAGUCUCCCCAACACUCAACUCACUCUCAUAGGAUUGGAUUUGGUGAAAAGAUGAUGUGAGUGGAAAGCAACUUAGGGAAGGCUAGAGAUCAAGAUUCAUAUGGUUGGAUUGGAAUAUCUUGGUCUCAACACAUGAGUAGGUGGCUCUCUCUCAGAAAAUGGAUAAUGGAAGUGUAGGCACGAUCUGAUGGCUUUCCCUCACGAAUGAGGAGAGGGUGGAGGGAUAUAUAUAGCCUCCACACAAAAUCUAACUGUUACACACAUUAUACCAAACUCGGUGGGACCGAAUCAGAAAACUCGGUCGGACCGAUUCAGUACAUAUGUGACCGUUAGGCAAUUUCGGUGGGACCGAUAUGAUCAACUCGGUGGGACCGAUGUGCAAGGGUUAGGGUAAAACCUCAUCUCGGUUUGACCGAUUACACAACUCGGUGGGACUGAUUUGGUAAUAAGCAAAACAGAGAGUUGAUCAGGCAAACUCGGUGUGACCGAUUAUAUCUUCUCGGUGAGACCGAAAAUAUUGCAAUAGACAACAGAGAGUUUGCAAGCCCAUCUUGGUGAGAACGAGAUCCCAUCGGUGUGACCGAAUUGAUUAGGAUUUUUGGCAGUGGCUAUGUCAACUGAACUCGAUGGCGCCGGAUGGAUCAAAUCGGUGGGGCCGAGUUUGACUUUUGGUUAGGGACAUAGUGGAUAUGAGGAAGUGGUUGAGGGCUUUGGAGCAUAUCACUAAGCAUUUUGAGCAAGCAAGCCAUUGAGCAACACAUCAUCCCCUUUUAAUAGUAUUGGCUUUCCUAUAGACUUAAUGUGAUCUUGGAUCACUAAAAUAAAAAAUGUAGAGUCCUGAGCUUUGAGCUUGAGCAAAUCAUUUGUCCUUAGCUUCUUGAACGGGUUCCACAUCCUUUUGUCCAUGCCACUCCACUGUUGAACUUAUCUGAAAUAUACUAGAUGAAAGUAUUAGUCCAACAAGAGACAUGUUGACAUUAAUUACCAAAAUCACCCGGGGAGCACUUGUGCUUUCAAUCUCCUUCUUUUUGGUAAUUGAUGACAGCAUACAUCAAAGCUUUAGAUAAAGAUAUAAAGAAAGGCAAGUAAGGCUUUGGAAGGACAUGUAACAUGCAUAGGCUCCCCUUACAUGUAUGCAACCAUGUAAAUAUGGAACAUAGGAUCAUGUGAGUGCAUAAACAUGACAGAGCAAGCAAUGAGUUACAUGUAUCUUGGCUAUAUGCAUCAGAGCAAAUGAUGUGAACAUGGGAAAUGUACCUUCAUGCUUAUGAGUCCUUCUUGCAAACAAUAUGUACAUUAGCAAGAGAUCUUCAUGCACAUGAGUGUGAUGCAUAUACUUACCUUGUGGUCUUGAACUGGAUUUGGAAGAGAUGAACCUAAGUAAACAAGGUUAGACAACACAGAAACAUCUACUAAGCAGAGCAAGAGCAGUAAAUCACAAGAGUACCAAGAUUUGGGAUGACAUGUGUAGAGUGAGUACUUAGAUACUCUAUUGAGUGUAGACAUGUCCCCAAAGGUAAAGAUAUGCAAUGAAUUUCAAGAUUUUCUUCCCUUAGAUGUCUUGCUCCCCCUGAAUCUCAUAAUGGAUAUUAGGAGAAGAUAGGGAAUAGAAAAUCAGAGCAAAGCAAACACAAAAACAAUAUGAACAUGUCCUUCCUCUCUAAAGACAUGUAACUUCUCUUCUCUUUGAAUACCAAGAAACUGAGGUCUUUCUUUUGAAAAGAAAAAGAAUGUCUCUCUCACCCUGUUGCUCUCUCCCCCUGUUGGAGUGAUUUAGCUUUGAUGUGAACUCUCUCUCCCCCUUUGACAUCAAUUUUCAAGAAGGGUCUUCUAGAGUGUGAGUCAAAAUAGGUUUGGUCCUUGAGUCAGAGAGCAAAGCAGCACAUAAAAUAUGAUGUUGGUAGAGGAUAAGAAUCAUCGAGUGGAGCUGGAACAAAAUGUGCAGAAUGUAGUGACAGAGUGAUUUCUCAGCAUUUAAAUCGCCUGCUCCGAGUUGAUUCCUUCGGUGGCACCGAGAAGUUUCGGUUUGACCGAAAGAGGAUAGUCGGUUUGUCCGAGUUCAUCUCAGAGAAAAUGCACUAGUCACCUUAGCUCACUAAGCAAAUAAGAUCUCAUAAGAAUUUCCAGGGAAUUAUCUAAAGGAUUUGCAAAGAAUUGGGUGCAGAGAAAUGCAGAACAGAAGUAAAAGAGAAUAAGUCUAGAUGAAGUUCUUUUAAAGAGGAACAAAUAUGCAUGAGACAAAAUGCAAUAACAAGGAGAAACACUAGAGAACUUCAUCUAGAAUAGGUCGGCGACAAAGUCACCUAUGUUAGAGUAUAUUGACUUAGGAGUCAAGUGAGGACACUUGAUCAUAGGCCAUACUCAUCGUUUAAGCUCAAAAUGGGGUUGCCAUUUUUCAUUUAAGCAUCUUGAUGUAUUCACAUCUUGUUGAGUUGCUUUGACCUAUGACUUGGGGUAAAGCUUCUCUAAGAUGGAAUAACAUACCUUGGGUGAUGGUGUUUGAACUUGAUCAUGUAGUUGAACUUGUGUGGGAUGCUCAAUGUUGAUGUAGUUCAUUUGGAGCACCACUUGUAAUUGGAGUUCAUCUACCUACAUGGAUUAGAUUUACAAGGAAAAGCACUUGUGUAUCCAAAAUGACAAUCAUGAAAUUUGAUAUAGGAAUUUGUCAAAGGAUAUAUUUGAAGGGUUUUAUGCUUCCUUGUCUUCAACCACCGUAAAGUAGAGACUUGGUGAUGUAGAGAUUGCUCAAGAUGUGAAUGAGUUGCAAUCUCAUAGAUUUAGAUCCAUCCAAGUACCUACAUGGGUUAGGUAACAUGCAAGGGUGCAAAUAGAUCCAAGAUAUGUGAUCAUCAUCAUGAGAGAAAUAUCAAGGAUAAGUCAUAGGCUCAUGUCUUGCAUGUAUCCCAAUGGAGUUCCUACUCCAAGUUUGAGGCAUCAAUGAUGUUCAAUUCACCUCUCAACCUGCAAAACACUUUCUCAUUAAGUGGUUUAGUGAAUAUAUCCGCCAAUUGCUUGUCGCGUGAACAUGCUUAAGGUUAAUAUCACCCUUAGCAACAUGAUCUCGAAUGAAAUGAUGAAAAACUUCAAUGUGCUUAGUUCGAGAGUGUUGUACGGGAUUGUGAGCAAUCUUAAUAGCACUUUCAUUGUCACAAAGCAAAGAAACAUGUUUCACAUAUAUCCCAUAAUCUUUAAGAGUUUGGGUCAUCCAAAGUAAUUGAGCACAACAUGAACCAGCGGCAAUGUAUUCCGCUUCGGUGGUGGAUAAGGAUACCGAGUUUGUUUCUUGGGACAGUCGGGGAGGACAAGAUGUAUGGCUGGACUUGAUAGCCAAACGCCCAGUAGCCACUGAAUGCCAGUGUCUAGUAGGACAUGACAAUAUACUGUUGGAAAUUAGCACACAAAAUGAAUGAUAGAAAUCUAGACUAUUUUUCACACUGAUGACAACUCACAAGCCAUGCUUGUGUCAAUAGAUAGGAUGUAUUCUGUUGGGUUUAUUUUCAAUUUAACACCAUUUUCUAUUGGCAGGUAUGAAUGUCAGCUGCAAUAUGGAUCAAUUGGUUGGUCGGUCGGGGCUACUCUGGGAUAUGCGCAGGCUGCUAAGGAUAAGCGAGUCAUUUCCCUCAUUGGAGAUGGCAGCUUUCAGGUACAAAAACGAAAUCAGAAUCACCAAACCUUCUAUCUUAUUUUAUAUUUAAAGAUUUUCAAAAUAUAUACUGCUCUCCCCGUUCCAAAAUAGAUGACUCAACUUUGUACUAACUUUAGUAUAAAGUUGGGUCAUCUAUUUUGGAACGGAGGGAGUAUGUAGCUAACAAUUUUGUCGUUGGACUGGUAUAUAGGUGACGUCACAAGAAGUGUCGACGAUGCUCCGGUGGGGACAGAACAACAUCAUCUUCCUCAUAAACAACGGGGGUUACACCAUCGAGGUGAAGAUCCACGACGGUCCUUACAAUGUCAUCAAGAAUUGGAACUACACCGGCUUGGUGAAAGCAUUCCAUAAUGGCGAGGGAAAAUGCUGUACUGCAAAGGUUGGUGACGCAAUUAAUUGCAGAAUGUAUUUAUAUACGGCCAAAAGAUUUUCUAAAACACCGCAUUGCGACGACAUUUCACACCUGUGUCUGUAUAGGUUCAAACGGAGGAGGAACUGGAGGAGGCAAUUGAGGCAUCCCUAGGACCUCACAAGGACAGCCAGUGCUUUAUAGAGGUAAUUGUGCACAAGGAUGACACUAGUAAGGAGCUUCUUGUGUGGGGAGCUAGGCUUUUCGCCGCAAAUAACCGCCCGCCGAAUCCUCAGUGAACACACCAGGUCUUUACAAGAUGCCCAUCCAGCUUAAUGAGGU
rnacentral:lncRNA from 1 species